rnacentral:tRNA from 1 species
GGGCCCUUAGCUUAGCUGGUAGAGCGCAUCAUUUGCAAUGAUGAGGUCAGGAGUUCGAAUCUCCUAGGGUCCA